AUACGUAGGGGGCGAGCGUUGUCCGGAAUGAUUGGGCGUAAAGGGCGCGUAGGCGGCCCGGUAAGUCUGGAGUGAAAGUCCUGUUUUUAAGAUGGGAAUUGCUUUGGAUACUGUCGGGCUUGAGUGCAGGAGGGGGUAAGUGGAAUUCCCGGUGUAGCGGUGAAAUGCGUAGAGAUCGGGAGGAACACCAGUGGCGAAGGCGGGUAACUGGACUGCAACUGACGCUGAGGCGCGAAAGUGUGGGGAGCAAACAGGAUUAGAUACCCUGGUAGUCCACACUGUAAACGAUGAAUGCUAGGUGUAAGAGGUAUCGACCCCUUUUGUGCCGGAGUCAACACAAUAAGCAUUCCGCCUGGGGAGUACGGCCGCAAGGUUGAAACUCAAAGGAAUUGACGGGG
rnacentral:rRNA from 1 species